CAUGGCUCGGAGCUUUAGUCGAUCACAAGGUUUUAAAUACUCUUUCCACCGUAGUUUUUUAAAAACAUAUUUUAAAGCAAGAAGAAGUGGAUCUAAAGUUUAUUUUUCGAGAGACUGAUUAGCUUGAGAAGAUCAAAGAACGAGGACUUUGAGAUCGCGUGAAAUAGAAGAAUUGCCCUCUAUGGACCAGCACAUGGGAACCUUCAGCUCAUUUGAGUGAGCAACUUAGCAGGGCCUUAUACAGCAACCCUCCUGUUUCUGUGCAAAGGCUACAGCGUGUGUCAGCCUCGUUUCUGAAAGGCAUCCUAUCUAUCCUUAAGUCGAAUGCAAUCAAAGUUAACUAUUCCUCUGAGUUGAGACAGAGGAUCAUGAUAUUGUUAGAUAUGAUUUUAGAUGAAGAGAUAAAAAAGCACAGAAUGGAGUUAGCAUGCUCUAUGAAAAGGACGAUUUUUCUCGCCUAGAGCUUCCUCCAUAUUGGUGGUAUUAUUUAAAUAAUUUUGGAGAAGGAAGAGCAGUUGACUUUCCUAUUAAGUUAACCCUUUAACUCCCUGAUCAAAUUUGUCAUUCUCCUUACUGUCAAGUAUACAAUUCUUGUAAUGUUAGUUCAGAGAAUUUAGCAUUGGAUCAACUAAUUAUCCCCAAAUUAAUAUUUUUCUAUAUUCUCAUCACUUAUCUAGUUGAUCUUGUGUUGAUAUUGUAAGGAGAAAUUCUAUCUUUGUCACUCAUGGGAGUUAAAAGGUUAAAAAUUGUCCUUACUCAUUCAAAAAAGUGUUUCAUGUCAUGUACUGUUUAAAUCAAAUUAGUGCCAAAUUUUCCAGCUGAGAAAGUUGUG